GACCAACGCAGAGUGAGAAGCACAGUUGUGAUUCCUCAACAAAACAUAAACCAGGAGGAUUAUUCCAGGAAAAUAGUGCCCUGUUAAUGUAGUGUAACAAGAAGUGAAUUAUUGUGUUGCCGUGGAGUGUUGUGAGUUGCUGCGGCGCCGUGGAGUGUGGUGGGAGGGGUGGGGAGGGAAGCGUGAGGUGAGGAGAGCCUACAGGGAUCGCCGAGGAGGGAGGGCGCCACCAGGAAGACAUCUUGGAAGGGGGAAGACGAAGGGAGGAAGAAGAAAAAAGAAGGAGAAGAAAGAGAAGAAGAUGAAGAUGACGAAGAUGAAAAAAAGUGCAGAAGAACAAAGAGAGAGAAGCUAAAUCCAAAAAGACAGAAAGAGUAAUGGUAAUGUACAAAUGUUACCCUCGUGGCGGCGAGAGAGACAAGAGGCUCACCUCGCUGGGAAACCCUCAACUGGCCCACACGUGAGGUCAAGUCUGGGGAUCAACAUUAGAUCCUGAUGGUGAUGGGAAAUAUUGGCUUGAUUUUGACAAAUUAAUAUAUGUCUAGAAAUCUUUAAAGAAACAGUAUUAUGCACCACACUUUGAGACUUCUGAACCAUUUAUAUCAAAAUACUGUUUAUUGGCUUUGCAUUCCUCAGUGUUAAUUUCGAUAUGUUCGUAUUGAUGCCACUUUUUGUGACUUGAAGACUGGAAUAUUUGAACGUUACUGUUUUUCUCAGAGGAGAGGGAAGCAAUUUUCCUUCUUAGCUUUACUCUAAUUAGGAAACGUUAGACAUAUAAUGACAAUAAAACUAGUAAGGAAAAAUUUUCUAAUUGUGUUUAGGGCAUUGAAUUCUUUCGCUUUGCCAAAUCCUUUCGUAAUAUUCGGAAAAAGAAAACUAGAUGAUCAUGAGUCUCCAACUUAAUACUGUGUGAUGUAAUUGCUAUGCCUCUUUAGAUAAACUUUACG